GAUGAACGCUGGCGGCGUGCCUAAUACAUGCAAGUCGAGCGAACAGAUGAGGAUCUUGCUCCUCUUACGUUAGCGGCGGACGGGUGAGUAACACGUGGAUAACCUACCUAUAAGACUGGGAUAACUUCGGGAAACCGGAGCUAAUACCGGAUAAUAUAUUGAACCGCAUGGUUCAAUAGUGAAAGACGGUUUUGCUGUCACUUAUAGAUGGAUCCGCGCCGCAUUAGCUAGUUGGUAAGGUAACGGCUUACCAAGGCAACGAUGCGUAGCCGACCUGAGAGGGUGAUCGGCCACACUGGAACUGAGACACGGUCCAGACUCCUACGGGAGGCAGCAGUAGGGAAUCUUCCGCAAUGGGCGAAAGCCUGACGGAGCAACGCCGCGUGAGUGAUGAAGGUCUUCGGAUCGUAAAACUCUGUUAUUAGGGAAGAACAAAUGUGUAAGUAACUAUGCACGUCUUGACGGUACCUAAUCAGAAAGCCACGGCUAACUACGUG
rnacentral:rRNA from 1 species